AACAUUUGUAAGGCAAGAAUGCACUCGAAAACCGGUGAUUCCAGGGCGUCAAAAGAAAAUUGCAUUUUUACUGGGAUGCCGAUGAUCACGAUAGAAUUACGACACGACUGAUUGGCGACCGCCAUCAUAAUGGAAGAAUCGUUGAUAAUGCAUUCAUUCCAGUCUCUAUCCAUUGCUGCCAGGAUAUUAUGAAAUAUUCUACGAAGAGUGCAUUCUUUUAUUGAAAACUUCUUUCGCCCUUUCUUAUUUAUAACAAUAGUCUUCGAUGCCAUUUCUCUUCAGUUGGAUGUUAAAACCGAAAA